rnacentral:rRNA from 1 species
GACGAACGCUGGCGGCGUGCUUAACACAUGCAAGUCGAACGGAAAGGCCUCUUUCGGGGGGUUCUCGAGUGGCGAACGGGUGAGUAACACGUGAGUACCCUGCCCUUGACUUUGUGUUAACUUCAGUAAACUGGGGCUACUACCGGAUAGGAGCUCCUGCUGAAUGGUGGGGGUUGGAAAGUUUCGGCGGUUGGGGAUGGAUUCGCGGCUUAUCAGCUUGCUGGUAGGGUAGUGGCUUACCAAGGCAUUGACGGGUAGUCGGCCUGAGAGGGUGACUGGCAACAUUUAGAAUGGGAUAAGGCCCAGACACCUACGUUAAGAAGCAGGAGAGAAUAUUACUCAAUGGAUGGAGGCCGAAAGCAGCAACGCUGUGAACGGGGUGACGGACUAAGGGUUGUAAGCCGUGGUCGCACGUGACGAAGCUUUGUGUAACGGUAGUAGGUAAAGGGGCACCGGCUAACUACGUG